rnacentral:rRNA from 1 species
GGGGAAUAUUGCACAAUGGGCGAAAGCCUGAUGCAGCGACGCCGCGUGAGGGAUGACGGCCUUCGGGUUGUAAACCUCUUUCAGCAGGGAAGAAGCGAAAGUGACGGUACCUGCAGAAUAAGCACCGGCUAACUCUGUGCCAGCGGCCGCGGUAAUACAGAGGGUGCGAGCGUUAAUCGGAUUUACUGGGCGUAAAGCGUGCGUAGGCGGCUUUUUAAGUCGGAUGUGAAAUCCCCGAGCUUAACUUGGGAAUUGCAUUCGAUACUGGGAAGCUAGAGUAUGGGAGAGGAUGGUAGAAUUCCAGGUGUAGCGGUGAAAUGCGUAGAGAUCUGGAGGAAUACCGAUGGCGAAGGCAGCCAUCUGGCCUAAUACUGACGCUGAGGUACGAAAGCAUGGGGAGCAAACA